UGGGUUGUGGCUCAGCGGCAGAGCACUUGUCUACCACAUGUGAGGCCCUGGGUUCCAUCCUCAGCACCACAU
rnacentral:tRNA from 1 species